CCUACGGGGGGCAGCAGUGGGGAAUAUUGGACAAUGGGGGGAACCCUGAUCCAGCCAUGCCGCGUGUGUGAAGAAGGCCCUCGGGUUGUAAAGCACUUUCAGUGAGGAAGAACGCCUGGUGGUUAAUACCCAUCAGGAAAGACAUCACUCACAGAAGAAGCACCGGCUAACUCCGUGCCAGCAGCCGCGGUAAUACGGAGGGUGCGAGCGUUAAUCGGAAUUACUGGGCGUAAAGCGCGCGUAGGUGGCUUGAUAAGCCGGUUGUGAAAGCCCCGGGCUCAACCUGGGAACGGCAUCCGGAACUGUCAAGCUAGAGUGCAGGAGAGGAAGGUAGAAUUCCCGGUGUAGCGGUGAAAUGCGUAGAGAUCGGGAGGAAUACCAGAGGCGAAGGCGGCCUUCUGGACUGACACUGACACUGAGGUGCGAAAGCGUGGGUAGCAAACAGGAUUAGAUACCCUAGUAGUC
rnacentral:rRNA from 1 species